GAGUUUGAUCUUGGCUCAGGAUGAACGCUAGCGGCAGGCCUAAUACAUGCAAGUCGAGGGGCAGCGGGAGUAGCAAUACUUGCCGGCGACCGGCGCACGGGUGCGUAACACGUAUGAAACCUACCCAUAACUUGGGGAUAGCCCGAAGAAAUUCGGAUUAAUACCCAAUGGUACUAUUUGAGGGCAUCUGAGGAUAGUUAAAGAUUUUAUCGGUUAUGGGAGGUCAUGCGGCUGAUUAGCUAGUUGGUGAGGUAAUGGCUCACCAAGGCGACGAUCAGUAGGGGACCCGAGAGGGUGAUCCCCCACACUGGUACUGAGAUACGGACCAGACUCCUACGGGAGGCAGCAGUAGGGAAUAUUGGGCAAUGGACGAGAGUCUGACCCCAGCCAUGCCGCGUGAAGGAUGAAGGCUUUCUGA
rnacentral:rRNA from 1 species